rnacentral:misc_RNA from 1 species
UACGGAGGGUGCAAGCGUUAUCCGGAUUCACUGGGUUUAAAGGGUGCGCAGGCGGGAAAUUAAGUCAGUGGUGAAAGCCGGCAGCUCAACUGUCGAGGUGCCAUUGAAACUGUUAAGCUUGAGUACAGACGAGGUAUGCGGAAUUUAUGAUGUAGCGGUGAAAUGCAUAGAUAUCAUAAAGAACACCGAUAGCGAAGGCAGCAUACUAGACUAGUAACUGACGCUGAGGCACGAAGGCGUGGGGAGCGAACAGG